CGCUGAACUUAAGCAUAUCAAUAAGCGGAGGAAAAGAAACUAACAAGGAUUCCCCUAGUAACGGCGAGUGAAGCGGGAAGAGCUCAAGCUUAAAAUCUCCGUGCAAGUUUUGCGCGGCGAAUUGUAGUCUAUAGAGGCGUGGUCAGCGUGGGCGCUUGGGGCAAGUUCCUUGGAAGAGGACAGCAUGGAGGGUGAUACUCCCGUUCAUCCCUGAGUGGCUCGUGCGUACGACCCGUGUUCUUUGAGUCGCGUUGUUUGGGAAUGCAGCGCAAAGUAGGUGGUAAAUUCCAUCUAAAGCUAAAUAUUGGUGCGAGACCGAUAGCGAACAAGUACCGUGAGGGAAAGAUGAAAAGAACUUUGAAAAGAGAGUUAAAGAGUACCUGAAACUGCUGAAAGGGAACCGAAUCGUUUCCAGUGUCUAUAAUCCGUGGCAUAUUUCAUUGGCGAGUGUGCGCGUGCGUGUGCUGUGGCAGUGGCUUUUUUGGCUGCGCUCGGUGCGUGUGCUGUGUGUGCUUGCUGGUGCCCUGUGCUGCGGUGGGACGUCAAGGUCAGUUCGUAUGCUGCGGGAAAUGGCUGCCGAGGAGGUAGGGCUUACGCUCCGCGUUUGUCUGUUAUAUCUUGGUGGACGAGUCGUCGCGGUUGGGACUGAGGUGCCUACAACGUGCUUUUGAGUGGGUUCGUGUCUCCGUGUGCGCCGUGUGCGGAUAGCUUGCUAUGCGUGUGUGGUUGUGUGUGGAUUGGUGCGGGCUUUAACUUGUCGCCGUUCGGGACGUUGACGAAAUGGAGCGAUCCGACCCGUCUUGAAACACGGACCAAGGAGUCUAACAUGUGUGCAAGUGUUAGGGUGUGGAAACCCCAGCGCGAAAUGAAAGUGAAGGGCAGCGCAAGUUGUCUGAGGUAGGAAACGUUGCGGGCUUCGGUCUGCGGCGUGGCACUAUCGACCGAUCAUGAACCUUCGUGGUGAAAGAUUUGAGUUUGAGCACAUAUGUUGGUACCCGAAAGAUGGUGAACUAUGCCUGAGUAGGGUGAAGCCAGGGGAAACUCUGGUGGAAGCUCGUAGCGAUUCUGACGUGCAAAUCGAUCGUCAAACUUGGGUAUAGGGGCGAAAGACUAAUCGAACCAUCUAGUAGCUGGUUCCCUCCGAAAUUUCCCUCAGGAUAGCAGCAACUUAUUUACGAUAGUUUUAUGAGGUAAAGCGAAUGAUUAGAGGAUUCGGGGAAGAAACUUCCUCGACCUAUUCUCAAACUUUAAAUCUGUAAGACCUGCAGGUUUCUUAAUUGAACUUGUGGAUGUGAAUAUCAAGUUGCUAGUGGGCCAUACGGGGUAAGCUCGUCUGGCG
rnacentral:rRNA from 1 species